rnacentral:lncRNA from 1 species
CUUCUGUAUUGGGAGAACUUAUUUUUCCUAUUAUAUUCUAACCAAUUAUGUUUCACUGAUGUAUCUUUAGACAAUAUAAGCAACUCUUCUUCCCCAGCCUCUAUACAUUUUUAAAAUGUCAUUCUAAGUUCAUUUCAUAUUUUAGUGCUCCCUUCUAUACACCUAAAAUUCAUUUUUAUUCCACCCCCAUUUCACUAAUGAAAAUCUAAGUUAUCUAUGCCCAAGUUUGACUCCAUUGCAAUAAGUUAUGUACUUGAAUUUUAAUUUUAUUUAAAAUAUAUAUUUUCUAGCUUAAUGAUUAAUAAAAUGAAGAGGCCAGACCCAACUAAUGCCAAUGACAGCCAAUGACAAGUGGCCAUGCUUGAUGAAAAUGUAACCAUCACUCAUUUUAAGUAAAGAAACUGAGCCUCAGGGAGAUCAAGAAGUUUUAAUCAUUUGAGAGAUGAUUUUGAUUUUACAAACUGCUUGUGUUGAUUCUAAUGAAAUGGGUGGAGAAGACAGACUCCAGGAAAGAAUGCAUCUGGAUUUACCUCCUGAGGAUAAACUGUUAAACAACUGAAAGAGUUUAAGAUGACAUGGUUGUUUUAUUUAUGAGGCAACUGAGACUACACCUGAUUUUCAUCAAGAAUGGCUGGGCAUUUAGGGGCUAGGCAUCUUGUACUUUAAAAGUAUAACACCAAAAUUCCAUUGCAUUCUUUUAUUUUAAAUGAAGCUUCAAAACUGUCAGCUGCAUUAGUCAAUCAAGGGCUAUAGAAUGCAAUUAUUUUGGAGUAGUGUUAAAGGCAAAAGUUUCAUUAAAAUGUGGCACUUUUUAUGGGAUAAUCUUAAGAAGCUCUUAAAAUACCGCUUUCACCAUGCUUCCACCUAGAAGAGAUCUGUUCUUAUGCUUAACCACUAUCACACUUUGUGCCCACCACUAAGUUGCACGUAUUGUUGGUUUUCUUCUUAUACCUAUGCCUCAUGUCACUGAUUAUAUCAUGAAUUUAAGAUCUAAAACAUAAGGUACCUAACAUGAAAGUUUGCUAUGUGUGUGUUUAAUAUUUGUUACUAUUUUGCCUCCAGAACAGAGGGCAACUCAGAAGUUAGAUGGUCAAAGGAGGUUAGAUCUUGUUGACACCUCAGACAUGUUUGGUCAGAUGUCCUUCAAACUUUUUAAAAUAUCUGAGCCUAUUCUUAGAAAUAAAUACAACUCAGAAGUGUGAUGUGUAAACUAU